rnacentral:rRNA from 1 species
AGAGUUUGAUCCUGGCUCAGAUUGAACGCUGGCGGCAUGCCUUACACAUGCAAGUCGAACGGUAACAGGUCUUCGGAUGCUGACGAGUGGCGAACGGGUGAGUAAUACAUCGGAACGUGCCCGAUCGUGGGGGAUAACGGAGCGAAAGCUUUGCUAAUACCGCAUACGAUCUACGGAUGAAAGCAGGGGACCGCAAGGCCUUGCGCGGACGGAGCGGCCGAUGGCAUAUUAGGUAGUUGGUGGGAUAAAAGCUUACCAAGCCGACGAUCUGUAGCUGGUCUGAGAGGACGACCACCCACACUGGGACUGAGACACGGCCCACACUCCUACGGGAGGCAGCAGUGGGGAAUAUUGCACAAUGGGCGCAAGCCUGAUGCAGCGACGCCGCGUGAGGGAUGACGGCCUUCGGGUUGUAAACCUCUUUCACCAGGGACGAAGCGGAAGUGACGGUACCUGGAGAAGAAGCACCGGCCAACUACGUGCCAGCAGCCGCGGUAAUACGUAGGGUGCGAGCGUUGUCCGGAAUUACUGGGCGUAAAGAGCUCGUAGGCGGUUUGUCGCGUCGUCUGUGAAAUUCUGCAACUCAAUUGCAGGCGUGCAGGCGAUACGGGCAGACUUGAGUACUACAGGGGGAGACUGGAAUUCCUGGUGGUAGCGGUGAAAUGCGCAUAUAUCAAGAGGAACACCGGGUGGCGAAGGGCGGGUCUCUGGGUUAGUAACUGACGCUGAGGAGCGAAAGCGUGGGUAGCGAACAUGAUAGAUACUCUGUUAGUCCACGCAGUAACCGUGAGUACCAAGGGGGGUGGGUCUCUUUUACCAGGGAGAUGCGUGCCGUACCUACGCAUAGUACCCCGGCUGGGGAGUACGGCGGCAAGGCUAACUCAAGUAAUCGACGCGCGACAGCGGCGAUCCAUGUGAUCAUACGAUGCAGCGAGAUCGUUACCGUGGAUUGC